CAACUGGGCUGCCUUCUCCGAUGAGAAGGCAGCCCAGUGGGUCGCCUUCUCGCCGGAGAAGGCAGCCCACACA
rnacentral:pre_miRNA from 1 species